GCCAGGUGUGGUGGCGCACACCUGUAAUCCCAGCUAUUUGGGAGGCUGAGGUGGGAGGAUUGCUUGAGCCUGGGAGGUGGAGGUUGCAGUGAGCCGAGAUCAGGCCACUGCACUCCAGCCUGGGUGACAGAGCAAAAUUCCAUCUCAA
ensembl:misc_RNA Metazoa_SRP Metazoan signal recognition particle RNA